CCCACCCCGGGCAGUUUGGUUUCGGACCUUUUGGGUAAGAACCCUGGGCACACUAAGAUCAAUACCCCCAUCUGGUAAGCUCCUCCCAAAUCCUUUUAGCAUCGAAUACACGGCUUCCUACAAUUGGACUAGAACUUGGGAUAAUAUCAGUAAUGGGAUUGCCAAGAUUUGGGCGUCCAAAGGGUGUGGAAGGCGAGUUGAGUCCCAACCUUUUUGUGGCCAAUUGUGGGCCGGCGGUGGGGUAUUCUCAUGACACCAUUGCCUCAGUGUUCAGUGCUUUUGGGGAAGUGAAAGGAGUCUGUGCUGCCGAUGAGAGCGGUGCCCGUGUCAUUGUUUCUUAUUGUGAUGAGAGUUCUGCCAGAGUUGCCUUGGAAGCAUUAGAUGGACACCCUUGUCCUGACCUUGGAGGCCGUUCUUUGCACAUUCGGUAUUCAGUACUUCAACCUACUUCGCAGGGUAAGGUUAAUGACUCAGUUCCAGUGUCUUUGGUGGCUUUGGAUUUGAACAUUCCAGGCCUUUACUUAUUGCAUGACUUUGUCAGCCCCAAAGAAGAGGAGGAAUUGCUCGCAGCAGUUGAUGAUAAGCCUUGGAAAAGUCUUGCCAAAAGAAGGGUUCAGCAUUAUGGCUAUGAAUUUUGCUACGAAACAAGGAAUGUUAAUACGAGACAGCACUUAGGUGAACUUCCGUCAUUUGUUUCUCCCAUUCUUGAAAGGAUCUCAUUGUUUCCGAACCUUGAUAAUCAUGCAAAUAUAGUUUUGGACCAACUGACGGUUAAUGAGUACCCACGUGGGGUGGGAUUAUCUCCCCAUAUAGACACCCAUUCUGCAUUUGAGGGAUUUAUUUUCAGCCUUUCGUUAGCUGGGCCUUGCAUAAUGGAGUUCAGGAGAUACACAGAAGGUGCUUGGCUUCCGAAGGAUACCUCAAGUACUAGUACAAUGGUGCAAACUCCUGAAAAUGGCCCAAAUUUCUUAAGGAGGGCUAUCUAUCUUCCCCCUCGGUCCAUGCUCCUUUUAUCUGGGGAAGCUCGUUAUGCUUGGCAUCAUUACAUUCCACACCACAAGAUUGAUUUGGUGAAGGACAGCGUUGUUAGAAGGGGUUCAAGGAGAGUGUCUUUCACUUUUCGUAAGGCUAAAACAGAUCCUUGCCAAUGUGAAUUUCCCCAAUACUGUGAUUCUCAUAGAUAAGAGGACUGGUUUUCAACUUUUCAUUCUGAUUGAAGAUGCAGGCUGAUUAUUCAACGCUCUGUUAUAACAGCAAUUAUAAUUGUUUGUAGGAGAUGGUUAGUAUAGAGCAAUACAAUCAUGAGUUGGACUUAUUUUCCAAGAUGAUUCCUUCUCUUGUUUUCCUAUGAUCAUACAGAUGAUUCCUUCCCUUGACAAUAGAUAGUAGGUUCUUUUGUCUUGCACAGCAAGAUCAGGCAUCUCUAUUUCCUGGAUCUCCAAACAGGAAGUUCUUGUUGCUAACUUGUGUUCGUUGCUGGUCUUACAAUGGAAUGAGUAGUGGAGAAGGAAACAAAGCUUUACGGUCACAAAGAUUUCAAGUGGUAGCUAAAUGAGGCUCCCUACUAGAGUUGGGAAAGCAUACAAAAUUUUCCAGGUUCUGGUUCAGGCUCAUAGAGGCUCAUAUUUGUACAUGCCAAAUCAACAUGUUUAUGGCUUGGAAACCCCUGAAAAUGCAAUACUUACCUACCAAUACGCCUUUUGGGGGUAGUCAAACCAAAUUCGGAAUGUUGGCUGAGGUAGCUUAAACAAAAAAUAAAAAAGGGGGGAAGAAAAAAAUAGAAGGAGAUAAUUUGAGAAUGGUUUAGCCGCUCUCAAAAAGUGGUUCA